UACGUAGGGGGCAAGCGUUGUCCGGAAUCAUUGGGCGUAAAGAGCGCGUAGGCGGCCCUGUAAGUCCGCUGUGAAAGUCAAGGGCUCAACCCUUGGAUGCCGGUGGAUACUGCAGGGCUAGAGUCCGGAAGAGGCGAGUGGAAUUCCUGGUGUAGCGGUGAAAUGCGCAGAUAUCAGGAGGAACACCGAUGGCGAAGGCGGCUCGCUGGGCCGGACCUGACGCUGAGGCGCGAAGGCGUGGGGAGCGAACGGG
rnacentral:rRNA from 1 species